AGCCUUGUAGUUUAAUGUAAAAAUUUUUGUAUGUGGUUCAAAAGAUUUUGGGGCUU
rnacentral:tRNA from 1 species